ACGGGGCCCGGCCGCGCUACGCCCGCCUGCCUUUCUCUCGCCGCCCGCCGCGGGCGCUCUUGCGGCCAGCGCGCAGGGCGCCCGGCAGUCGCCACCGCGUGGGCCGCGGCUCCCUCCCUCCCCUGGGGGCCGCCCGGCUAGGACACGUGUCCUUGGAGCAGGCGGGCCGGGGCCUGGCUUCCUGCUUGCCAUCCUGGCCGGCGCGACGCGCGGGGGAACCUCGGAGGGGAAGAAAGGCCACCCUCCACCCCCGGAGGAGGAAGGUCUCGAGGUUUGGGGCUCUCUUUUUUUUGCGCCCAUGUGCCACCGGCGGAGUUUAGGAGCUGAGGCUGAGAGUGUGACUUCCCCAAGGCCAUUUGGAUUUGCAAGCAAACAACAAAGGAGCAAAAUAAGCAGGGUGCCUGUCCAGACAUCGCAAGAACUCAAGGUAAAUUGUUUCUUCCUGCCUUGUUUCUCUCAGUGGCAGCAGGGCACCAUGCUGCUCAUUCUCAAUAAAGCACAGUAAGCUAGGAGCCCUUCCCUAUCAUGAUGUGGUCGAUCAAAAGUUUUAAGUUGGAGGCGUCAAAGGAAAGGGAGACAAGCAAGGUCUGAAAGGGAACAGUGGGGAGCAAAUUUGAUUAAAUGUGCUUGGGCUUUAUUUUUGUUAGGAUAGGAGUUAUGGUGUUAACCCAGCUUUCUCCAACUUGUUGCCUUGUAGAGGUUUUGAACUGCAGCUCCCAUCUUCUCCUGAUAGCAGUGCACGUAUCUCAUAUCUUACGCAGGGUUUAGUUUCUGGGGGUCCAUGUAUAUAAAUGCGUACUGCCAGGAAUUUCCGGAACCAGGCUCCCUGCAUGGUGGAGGACCUCUUGCCCAACUUCAGGAAAUAGGCGGAAAGGGCUCUGGCAGUGUCCCAGAGCCCUUCCGUGGCCGCUUUGUUGUGAGGGUUUUGGCAGGAUCCUAGAGUCCUCCCACCUCCUUCUCAAAGCCUAGUAAGUGCUUGCCCAGCUUUGGGGAGGAGGCAGGAGGCAUCUAGAACCAUGCCAGAGACGUUGCACCACCUCCCCAAAGUCUGGAGCCUCCCUUUGCUGGCGAGGGCUCUGGGCUGCCUGGUAAGCCCAUAAUGGUGGGCAGGGAAUAAAUAAAAUGAAGAAUGGGUUUCCUCCGCUCUCCAUUUUAUUUUUAAUUUCCCCCACCCACACAAAGCUGUGAACACAAGUAAAAUAAUGUAAGAUUGUGAGUUAUCUGUAGUCCUAAAUAUCUGGAGCACUCCAGGCUAAGGAAAGCUGUGUUAAGCAGUUGGCUUCAGUGGAGAAAGGUAUUUCUUUGAGAGGAGAUUUGUAGGAAGAUAGACUAGUCAGGGCAGUUGCAGUGCCUGCCUGAGCACCUGUGGAAGAAGUUUUAUUGAACCAGUGAAUAGGAAGCUGCUGUAAGCAGCCACAAAACAAAGAGUACAAUUCCUGCUUUGUCAAAUGCUACUUACGAAGUCGUGGGCAUCUUGCAUUCUCCAUUGGCGGUUUUCCAUUUGUGGCAUGUUCACCCACAAAUGGAAAUUCUGCAGUUGGAUUAAUUUCUGCAGCCUCGUUUCCUAAACUCCUAUUAUACCUGUUCCUUAUUGCCCAUUUUCAGUGCUUUGAGGCAGAACUCUCAACAUGCCAACCCCACGUUAAACUACAUUGCAUGGGUUGCAACGCAUGUAAGUGAAGCAAGAUUGAAUUUGCUGUCUGCUCGGUUUUAGCACAGCCCAGAUGAGCCAAGCAAGUGAGCUAAUUCAGUGUUCCCAUGCAGCAUCCUUGGGCAGCUGGCAUGGGCCCCAGGGCCCUGGCAUGGCCUGUCACCCUUAACGUCCCCAGGGACCCUCUUAAUGCUCCCCCUUUGUGUUCUAUACUGGUGGCCGCCAUGUAAAAUCCUUGGAAUGGCCUGGAGUAAUUCUAAAUCAAGAGCAUCAUGAAAAAUUAAAAUGGUGGCAGCCUGGUGACAAAUCAAAAGGGUGCCACCCCAGGUAGGCCUGGCAGGAGGUGUUCAUCAGAGGGCACCCUGUAACAAAUUAUUCCCAAAAUAAAACUUUCACCAGGGUGGAGGGGUUGAGAAGGAAGCCAUGCCAUAUCUCCUGAGCAUUUGCAGUGCAUUGGCGCCAAUCCUCAAUAGAUGGGUUGCUUGCUGUUUCUUACAGAUCCUGGUGAAGCCAAUUGCCCUGGACAUCACAGUCCCCACCCCUUCCAAAACUUAAGUCGUUUCUGAGGGAGCAUCAAGACCUUCUGUCCGUCCUUGCUGUUAAAGAUGGAAUUCAUUUCCUUGUUCCCCUCAGUCCUAGCACAGAAACCUCCCCAAGUUUUGGGUUGGACAUUGCAAGCUCUUGCACCACUACAGGCCUCCUUAGUGUGCUUUAGGUCAUGUACUGUUCUCUCUGAGCCCCACUUUCCACCCGAGACUUCUUGCUUGUGCACCUGAAAAUUUAGAACGCUAGUGCAGCAGAUGUGUUUCUUCCACGUAAUGUUUAUUGGGUGCCUGAGAGCUGUGUAACAUGGUGAUGAUAUGAUAUUUAUUUAUUUAUACAUACAUACAUACAUACAUACAUACAUACCCCACCCAUCUGGCUGGGUUUCCCCAGCCACUCUCAGUAACCCUAAGAAAGGAAUUCAAAGUGAGGAAAGAGCAGAGAAAUGUGCCCCUCUUUUUUAUUUUUAAAAGGGAGGAGUCUGUAUCACUGUUCCUAAACUUUUAUGUUGACUGUGCUCCACCACCUUCAUAGAGCCUUGCUUUCAGUUUCUGAAAACAUAAGUGGGAAAUUCCCAUACCAUUUUACUGAAAAUAGCCUUUUCUAUCCUGGGGAUCAUAGUUCUGUCCAUUGAAGCAUAAAGACAAGCCCCCCGGAGCAAGAUCAGAGAUGCCUUGCACCGCUUCCCAUCGAUCGGCAAGUACUGAUCAUGAUAUAUCAAGGUGAAUUUUGGAACCUCACAGUUCAUUUGGCAAAAGAGGAUUCUAAUGUGCCUCUCACCCAUGCCCGCCCCCAAAUGGGGUGUCGUUUGUGAUGGCUGGUGACCUAGUCCAUGCAGACUGACCUUUUGAUUUCACAAGUUUGGGAGCAUUUGGGCAGCCUAAGGCCAGAGUGGCUAUUGAUUUUUGCCAGUGAAAUAACCAGUGCCACUGUGGUCUCUUCCCAGAGGAGCUUGCAUCAUCAUUGGACCCCAACUCUUGACAAACAGGUCGGGGAAGUUUCCUUUUCCCGCAUGUGGGUGUUGUCUCACUUGCUGCUUUGCUUUGGUUGGCAAUUAGGGUUUGGGUUGUUGUUUUUUUUAAAGGAAGGGGAUCUACACCAACAGCAAACCUUAGCAUUUUUGUAAAAGUUUAGAAUUUGGAAAAGGUGUUUUGCAUUCAGCACCCCAGCAAUUUUGCGGCAAUCCUGUCAAGGUAGGCCAGAAUUACUACCAAUGCGUGGCUGAUGGGAGGACUUGCAGAAAACGCAACAGAUUCCUGGCACGGGUGUGAUUUGGAUCUGGUGGCAAUAAGGUCCGCUGCUGCUUGGUCCCUGUGCUGCCCUUGCAGGGAAGGGCCAGCAUCUGGAGACAGAAGAGGGGGAAUCAGAGAAUUGUAGAAGGCACCAUGAGGGUCAUCUAGUCCAACCCCCUGCAAUGCCCAAUGUGAGGCUCGAACCCACAACCCUGAGAUUAAAGGGUCUCAUGCUUGUGCCCUACUGACUGAGCUAUUGCUGGUCUUAACUGGACAGGAAGAGCCAGGAUGUUGACAAGGAAUAAAGAGGGGGGAUGUGGCAAGUAGAGUUCUUAAUUCCAAAGCUUGUUAGGAAGGAGGUGAGCUCCAGUCAUCUCCAGUCAUGGGUGUGGUGAAGCUGGGUGGAAAAAAGCAUUCACAGCUGAAAAAGGGGGCUGGGGAGGGAAUGGUUAUCUGCUCCUCCCAUUUGUUCCUUGAUGUGCUAAUGGACCCUGGAGCACAAGGGAGCUGCCUCUUGUUAAGUCUCCGCCUCCCUGCUUUGGCACUCUUUAACCUUUGAGGUGUUUGUUUAAUGGGCUUGGCCAUGCUAAUCGAUAUGAUGCCGGCAGACCUUGAGUGGCUGAAGUCUUGGGUGCUUGUGAAUUCGCCAGCAGCCAGCUGGCCGGCUUUUGUGGGGAGCAGUGUGUCUUUUCCUUCCAAUACAGGAGAGAGGAGGACCCACUGCUUGGGGUAGCAGUUGGGUCAAAGUCCUGGAAUAGCUCCCUUCAAAAAUAUGACCUGCAUAUCCCUUUGACGGCAAUGAUCUUUGUGGAUUGGUGCUAACACCUUAAUGGUUACCCUUGGUGAUGGUAGCGGAGCCUUUUCUUCUCCUCCCAACCCUGCAAUAUUUUGGACAACUUUUUCCAUUUAUAUCAUGCCCUUCCUUCAAAGGAUAUCAGGGCUGCAAACAUAGCAGCGAUAAAACAGUUAAAAAAUAAAAGCAUAGUUGAAAACGGUCGCCUAAUCUCACAGCUGAUAAUUUCAGGGUUGCUGGGAAUGUUAUCUUUUAGCCAUUAAAUGCCUAAGUAGACUGGAGCGCUUUAAAAUUCCUCCUAGAUGUGGCUAAUAAGGAAUACCUACACACCUCACGAGGAAGGGCACUCCCCAAAUGGAGAAGUGCCACCGAGAAGGCCCUGCCACUGGUCAAUGCCAACCGCAUGCCACCACCAAGUUGGCUUCCCCUGCCAAGUGUAGGGCCCCAAAGUGGGUGAUACUGGGGCAGCCGCUCUUUAAAGAACUUGAGUCCAAAACCUUUUAGUGCUAACACGGUAGCUCACUGGUAGGCAGUGGAGGACUGGUGGCAAGGGAUCCCAACAGGUUGGACCACUUGCCAACCUGGCAGUCACACUAUGCUGGCUGCAGUCUCUGGACGUGGGGCAGCCCCAUAUAGAGUGCAAUGCAGUGGUUCAGGUGGGAGGUCACCUGAGAUUGGCUGGUCCAGGAACUUCCAUAGCUGGUGAAACAACCUAAGUUGGGCAUAAGCACUCCUAGCCACAGAAGCCACUUGAGACUCCAGUAACAUGUUGAGUAACUCCAGUAACAUGUUGGAAUCCAUGAGUUCUCCCAGGCUACAAACCUGUUCCUUCAGGGUUGUGCAACUCCUCUCAUAACUGGUUGCCUACCUAAUUCCCGGACACAGGAACCACCCACCCACAGAACCUCCAUCUUCUCGGGUUUCUCCCAGACACAGGUCCCGAUGUCCUCACUUUCGAAAAUGUAUUUAGUGUACUGUCUCUUGCCGCUCCUGAGUUUUUUGC